rnacentral:lncRNA from 1 species
AUGCUUAGUCAUGUACCAGUGCCUGCCUCAUGCUCAUUUGUUUGUCUUUGUGCCCACGACAUCAUUGACAUGGCAAUUGUGACAACUGCUCAGCUGUCCACUCAAGCAGUUGAUAUGAUCAUUGUCUUGAAGGUCAGUGAUGAUUCCCUAACCACCAGAUCCAAUGCCUUAUUGUUGAUCAUCUUUCCAGAAAUCUCUGCUUCUCCAGAGGAAGCCAACAGUCACCAGAGGGAGGAAACAUGGAUUUGGGAAUGUAAGAAGAGCCUUAAACAUUUUAAGGCGAAAAUCAGGGAAACCAGACCAUGUCUCAAGGUGGAGAAAGAAGAUUGUGACAGGGACUCUAUUUUAAAUUAGACACCCCCAUAAUAGGAAUGUGAGUCCCAAAACAUUGGGUUCAGGGAUGGGGUGGUUUAAACUUUCUAUCUCAUGCCAGGACUGAUCUAAGACUAGAGCUUUGCUGUCCAAAAAACAAAAUAUAAUGUAUGCCUCAGAUUUGAGCUACACAUAUAGUUUUCAGUAAUUUUCUAGUAGCCACAUUUUUAAAAAGUAUACAGAAAUAAGUGAAGUGAAUUUCAAUCAUGUAUUUUAUUUAACCCAUAUAUAUUUAAUAUUAUUGUUUUAACAUGUGAUCAGUAAAACAUUAUUAAUCAGAUUUUUACAUUCUUUUUCUCAUACUAAGUCUGUGAAAUCUGGAUUUAUUUUACAUUUAUAGCACAUCUCAAUUUGGGCUAGCCACAUUUAAGUGCUCCAUACCGCAUGUGGCUAGUGGCUACCCUAUUGGACAGUGCAGGUCUAGAGCGCAAGGGGAAAGACUCAAGUUUGUGGGAAGGAAUCCAGUGGCCUUUGCUAGGGGAGGAAUGACUGAGACUUCUGGGGACUGGACGCCUGCUAGUUGCCUGAUUAAUCUCAUAAAUGGCAGAUCUUAGCAUGUCCUUUGAUAUGCUCAAAAACAUUUACUAUCAAAUAACAAUAACAACAGGCCUAUUGCAGUAUCCAGAUUUCUCAGUGUGACAUGGAGGUCCUUCUUCGUGUCUACUUGGCCUCUACUGAUGGUGUUUUCUCCUUCCCACUCUCCCUUCAUCUGCGAUUGUGCCAUCUCUGUUUUUUAAAUGCAGCAGAAGUCCUCUUUUUGUAGCAUGUCUAGUUAACUAGUUUAUUGAGAAAAGUCACUGAAAGAAGGACAUUAUAAAAAAGUAUAAACUGAGGGGCGCCUGGUAGCUCCAUGGGUUAAGCAUGUGGCUCUUGAUCUUGGCCCUGAUCUUGAUCUCAGGGUGGUGAGAUUGGCCUCCUGUCUGACUCCCAGCUGAGAAUGAAGCCUGCUUGGGAUUCUUUCUCUCCCUCUCCCUCUGCCCUC